rnacentral:rRNA from 1 species
GAGCAGCCAUGCCGCGUGUAUGAUGAAGGCCUUCGGGUUGUAAAGCUCUUUUUCCGGGAGGAAGGGAGUAAUGUUUAUACCUUUGCUCAUUGACGGUACCCGCAAAGAAAGGCCGGCUAACUCCGUGCCAGCAGCCGCGGUAAUUA